rnacentral:rRNA from 1 species
CCCUUAGAUGUCCUGGGCUGCACGCGCGCUACACUGAUGUGUCCAGUAAGCACCUAACCUCUUCCGAAAGGAACGGGUAACCUUUGCAAAGCACAUCGUGAUGGGGAUAGAUUAUUGCAAUUAUUAGUCUUGAACGAGGAAUUCCUAGUAAGCACAAGUCAUCAGCUUGUGUUGAUUACGUCCCUGCCCUUUGUACACACCGCCCGUCGCUCCUACCGAUUGAAUGUUCCGGUGAAUUAUUCGGACUGCAACGCGCUCAGUUCCUGGAUGCGAUUGCGGAAAGUUUUGUGAACCUUACCACUUAGAGGAAGGAGAAGUCGUAACA